CACGUAGGGCGCAAGCGUUGUCCGGAAUUAUUGGGCGUAAAGAGCUCGUAGGCGGUCUGUUACGUCUGCUGUGAAAACCCAGGGCUUAACCCUGGGCCUGCAGUGGAUACGGGCAGACUAGAGGCAGGUAGGGGAGAAUGGAAUUCCCGGUGUAGCGGUGAAAUGCGCAGAUAUCGGGAGGAACACCGGUGGCGAAGGCGGUUCUCUGGGCCUGACCUGACGCUGAGGAGCGAAAGCGUGGGGAGCGAACAGG
rnacentral:rRNA from 1 species